GCGCGUGUAUCUCAGUUGGUAGAGAGCUGCCUUGCCAUGGCAGAUGUCGCAAGUUCGAACCUUGUCACGCGCU
rnacentral:tRNA from 2 species